GGUGCUGUGGCUCAGUGUGGUUAGAGCACUUGCCUUGAGCAAGAGAGCUCAGGGACAGCGCCC
rnacentral:tRNA from 1 species